rnacentral:lncRNA from 1 species
GGAUGAGAUGAAGUGGCGCUCCCAUCCGCGCAUUGAAUACGGCAGGACGUCAUUUUAUAGAGGUCGCGCAAGUCGUGCAGUAUUAAAAAUUGGACCGGCGGGUUAAAACGCCGGUGUCUGUGGGAUAUAACGUCCCCGGAAUACAAGCUAGCAAAAUUAAAAAAGCGAACAUGGGAAGAGGUUGCCGUGGAAACGGGAAGAUCGGUGAAAGAUGUCACCACGCGCUGGAAAAAUAUAAAAGAUUAUAGAUCAAGAAAACUGGCCAAACCUCGAAGUGGCUCUGGGGCCACGGCUGGAAGUGGAGACUCAUCUUCCUAUCUGCGGGCGCUCAGCUUUUUGGACCCUGUCGUACAGCCGAAGAGUUCAUUUGUGUUUUCACAGACUGAAGGAGAUAAUCUGGACGGUUUAUCGGCAUCCCUGUCGAUGACUGAUCUGGAAACCCAACCGACCGCAGAGCCGGCGCCCCGAACGGCCACAGAGUCGGCGCCCCGACUGACGGCAGAGCCGGCGCCUCGAACGGCCACAGAGUCGGCGCCCCGACUGACGGCAGAGCCGGCGCCCCGAGCGGUCGCGGCACCGGCGCCCCGACUGACGGCAGAGCCGGCGCCCCGAGCGGCCGCGGCACCGGCGCCCCGACUGACGGAAGAGCCGGCGCCCCGAGCGGCCGCGACACCGGCGCCCCGAACGGCCGCGGAGCCGGCGCCCGGAACAGCCGCAGAGCAGACGUCUCGUCGCGAGGCACGCCGGGCCCGGCCGCGGGCAGGUGUGGCACCAGCAGCGCCUUCCCCACUCCUUGCAGAAAUUGUAAAUGCGUUGCGUGACAUGGGGGAGGCUGAUCGCGGUCCUGGUGACCAGGCGCAGUUAUUCUGCGAUGCAAUAGCAAGUGAGCUCCGAACCCGUGCACCCGAGGAAAUGCGGAGAAUUCAGGCAGCUAUUUGUCGGAUAGUUUACGGCUGAUUUCGCUCCGGACCUACCAUUCCCUUUCCUGUUAGCCUCAUCUUGUUUAUUUCUACAUGUAAUAUGAAAUGUUGUUGUGUUCUUAACCCUCGCCGGCACACAGGGGGUUGAUGCAACCCCCCCCCCUAAGGUUUUUCGCGAAUAACUCGCGUAAAAAGCGGCCGAUCGCGACGAAACUUUCAGUACCCUCGCAUUGAUCAAUUUUACACCUACCCUGAAAAUUUCAUGACCCUGACCCCAAUGACCUUUGACCUGUGACCUUCUUUCUGUGACCAUGUUUGGCCGAAAUCGCGGUUCGGCGCAUGUCGGCUCGCAUUAGCCGCGCGUUUGCAAGCUUUUCGUGGUUUCAAACGUUCAAACAUGUGAUUUGAUGUUGCUCCCAUGCAUUAGGGUGGGUUUCAAGGUCACCUGAAGGUCAGGUCAGGUCAUUGACCUUUGGUGACCUCGGGUGACCUCGGUUCACUUCUUCGAGUUUUACAUGUUUCUAGACUAGUUUUUGGAGCUCAGUUCGAAUUUAGCAACCAUUUGAACAUUUACGAAGUAGUUUUGGUGCCUUCGUAACAUGUUACGAAGCUGUCCGAGGCGGUUGACACGUAUUACGAAUACCCGUCACAACCUCUACCGGUUGACCUGACCUGACCUGAUCCGACCUGGUCUAAAUGCUUAAAGACAUCAUCUAUGAUCAAAACUAACACGAUAUUCGUGAUCAGCACCCCGGAAAACCACAUGGCAGCCACACUUUACGACUUUCUAACAGGUCCCGAUUUUCCCGGUUUUCGGGUCAUUGACCUGACCUGGAAGGUCACCCGAUGACCUAGGACCUUAAAAUUGGGUAUCAUCGGCUUCCUCUCGUGACGGGCAACACGCUCGUUUUUUCCGCGAAGCUCUAGCUCGAUCAGGGGCCAAACGCGAGGGGGGGUCGUACCAACCCCCCCCCCCCUUGUGCCGUCGAAGGACUCAAAAUGGCCUGUGCCGGCUAGGGUUAAUUCGUUUUCGAAAUGAUGUUCUUCAUUCAUAGUUGUUCUAUCUGUAAUGGUGUUAUGAUGACCAACUUCAUUAGUAUUGUUCCAUAUCUCUUGUUAUCGAUGCAAUUUUAAUAUUGCCACGGUGUCCUAUGAUCAAUUCCCAACGCCAUUGCCUUUUUUAGGGGGAGGGGGGGGGGGGGCUUGUUUGUGUGUACGGUUGUGUUCAAACGUUUUGAUUUGCUCAUUGGCCUUCCAUUUCUAUCAACUUAUGUGGAAAACAAUACAUUUUCGCUUCACGCCCUUUGUUGUAGAAUGUACAUAGAUAUAAGGUUCCACUUCCACCUCAUGAGGUUCAUAAACCAAGAAAAACCGGUUAG